CCCUUAGAUGUUCUGGGCCGCACGCGUGCUACACUGAUGCAUUCAACGAGCCUAUCCUUGACCGACAGGUCCGGGUAAUCUUUGAAUCCGCAUCGUGACGGGGAUAGAUUAUUGCAAUUAUUAAUCUUCAACGAGGAAUGCCUAGUAGGCGCAAGUCAUCAGCUUGCGUCGAUUACGUCCCUGCCCUUUGUACACACCGCCCGUCGCUCCUACCGAUUGGGUGUGCUGGUGAAAUGUUCGGAUCGGCCGUUUGUCGCGGUUUCCGCGUCAUGUGGCUGAGAAGUUCAUUAAACCCUCCCACCUAGAGGAAGGAGAAGUCGUAACA
rnacentral:rRNA from 1 species